CUGGCUCAGGAUGAACGCUGGCGGCGUGCCUAACACAUGCAAGUCGAACGAAGCACUUAGACAGAACCUUCGGGUGACGUAUUGGUGACUGAGUGGCGGACGGGUGAGUAACGCGUGGGUAACCUGCCCUGUACAGGGGGAUAACAGUUAGAAAUGACUGCUAAUACCGCAUAAGCGCACGAUGGUAGCAUUACCAGGUGUGAAAAACUCCGGUGGUACAGGAUGGGCCCGCGUCUGAUUAGCUUGUUGGCGGGGUAAGAGCCCACCAAGGCGACGAUCAGUAGCCGGUCUGAGAGGAUGAACGGCCACAUUGGAACUGAGACACGGUCCAAACUCCUACGGGAGGCAGCAGUGGGGAAUAUUGCACAAUGGGGGGAACCCUGAUGCAAGCAACGCCGCGUGAGUGAAGAAGUAUUUCGGUAUGUAAAGCUCUAUCAGCAGGGAAGAUAAUGACGGUACCUGACUAAGAAGCUCCGGCUAAAUACGUGCCAGCCGCCGC
rnacentral:rRNA from 1 species